rnacentral:rRNA from 1 species
UCUAGUGUCAACACUAAAUUUGAAACACUUCAAUACCUUUUCGAAUUUGAAAGUGCAACUCUUUAGGGGUUUGAAUACUGCAAGGGACACUUUGUGGAAACCAAAACCUGAUGCUAGAAG